GUGGGGAAUCUUGCGCAAUGGGCGAAAGCCUGACGCAGCCAUGCCGCGUGGAUGAUGAAGGUCUUAGGAUUGUAAAAUCCUUUCACCGGUGAAGAUAAUGACUGUAGCCGGAGAAGAAGCCCCGGCUAACUUCGUGCCAGCAGCCGCGGUAAUACGAAGGGGGCUAGCGUUGCUCGGAUUUACUGGGCGUAAAGGGCGCGUAGGCGGACAUUUAAGUCAGGGGUGAAAUCCCGGGGCUCAACCUCGGAACUGCCUUUGAUACUGGGUGUCUUGAGUAUGAGAGAGGUGUGUGGAACUCCGAGUGUAGAGGUGAAAUUCGUAGAUAUUCGGAAGAACACCAGUGGCGAAGGCGACACACUGGCUCAUUACUGACGCUGAGGCGCGAAAGCGUGGGGAGCAAACAGGAUUAGAUACCCGUGUAGUCC
rnacentral:rRNA from 1 species